UAUUAAAAUUUUAAUUCUUUUUUAUACUAAAAAUUAAUGUAGCUGACAGAAUAACCAAAUAAUUACAUAUAGCGUGCCACAUGUAUUUUAUUUUGACAUAUAAGAACUAAUUUUUAACAGUAAAAAUAGAUGAAAUUUUUAUCA
rnacentral:pre_miRNA from 1 species